rnacentral:rRNA from 1 species
UACGUAGGGUGCAAGCGUUGUCCGGAAUUAUUGGGCGUAAAGAGCUCGUAGGUGGUUUGUCACGUCGGCUGUGAAAACCCGAGGCUCAACCUCGGGCCUGCAGUCGAUACGGGCAGACUAGAGUAUGGCAGGGGAGACUGGAAUUCCUGGUGUAGCGGUGAAAUGCGCAGAUAUCAGGAGGAACACCGGUGGCGAAGGCGGGUCUCUGGGCCGUAACUGACGCUGAGGAGCGAAAGCAUGGGGAGCGAACAGG